rnacentral:rRNA from 1 species
CUACGGGCCGCUCCAGUGGGGAAUAUUGCACAAUGGGCGAAAGCCUGAUGCAGCAAUACCGCGUGGAGGAUGAAGCAUCUAGGUGUGUAAACUCCUUUUAUAUAGGAAGAUAAUGACGGUACUAUAUGAAUAAGCACCGGCUAACUCCGUGCCAGCAGCCGCGGUAAUACGGAGGGUGCAAGCAUUACUCGGAAUUACUGGGCGUAAAGAGCAUGUAGGUUGGUUAAUAAGUUCUAAGUUAAAUAUUAUAGCUUAACUAUGAAAAUGCUUAGAAAACUGUUAAUCUAGAGUUCGGGAGAGGCAGAUGGAAUUUCUGGUGUAGGGGUAAUAUCCGUAGAUAUCAGAAGGAAUACCGAUUGCGAAAGCGAUCUGCUGGAACGAUACUGACACUAAGAUGCGAAAGUGUGGGUAGCAAACAGGAUUAGAUACCCUGGUAGUC